UAUAGGUGAAGCUUUUAUGUAAUCAUGGAAAUAUUAAAGAUGAAAGUAGAACCCUUUUCUGAUGAGAAGCAGGAUGAUUUAUUGAAUAUCAAAUCGAUGAAAAAGGAAAAUGAAACUUUCACAAUAACUAGUAGUGAAUAGGGAAUAUCAACUAGUUCCCCACCUCUGCAUGUACAUCCACGCAUAGCAUUUUGAGAUGUUAGAGAUAUGACGACUGUCUUGCAGUGGAUGUCUCAUAGUUGCAGUCAGGAUGAGGGUUCACCAAUUAUUACUAUAAUGGAUGUCAGUAUCCAUGUUCCAUCUAUUGAAUGGCACCAGAAACAAAAGUCCAUAAAAUUACUAGCACAAAAAGGGUGGCAUUUCUGCUCCAGGAAAAGCUGAUUCCUUGGAAGAAAGUCCUCUACAUACAAUUUUGAAGUUUGAUGUAACAAAAGAGGAACAAAAAGAAAAGUGUGAUGGAGCAUCGGAGAAAAAUGAGAACAUAUCUGUUCAAGUGAAAAUGGAACAUCCUGGUGAUCUGCUACACGAUGAAGUUAUUUCAAAGUUCAGUUACAGUGAUGAUGAGGAUCAGGAUAGUUCACACUAUAAUGUUAUGAAUGUGAAAACAGAAACUGAAUAUUAAAGAGAUUUUGAAUCUGAAUUAGAAAGACCAUCUGUUCCAGGGACCGAGGCCCAUGCUGAAAGAGUUGAGAAACUUUCUAACUGACCAAUGUUUGUUUUCUCCCUGAUUCUUCAUGUUCAGAGAAUGUACUGCUGUCAUUUAUUACCACAGAUGUAAUUAUCCUGAGACUUGAAUGAUCCCAAAUCUUUAAUCUCUUAAUUUAACAUGUUGAAGUCAGUAAUCAAGCAGCUUUUAAUCACAGAAAUGGUACCUAAACUUGAUAAAUAAUAUAUAGAUAUACAUUUUAGUUUUUUCUAUAUGCCAAGAUUUUAAAGAGGAACUAUAAAGUAUUGAUGUUAGUUAACAUGUUAAAGUAGACAAAUCAUUGGAAGAUUUUAGGAUAAUCACCCACUUCAAAUUAGAAAAUAUCUAACAGUUAAUCCAGGAAGGUACUGGCUGAAAGUAACAUUUGUUGGUGUUUCAUUGUACUAUCAUAUUUCUACAGAUGGUUUUUAGAUUUUAUUUACUAAAAAUCUCUUGAACGUGGUACCAAUGGUAUAUUUUCAGCUCUGUUCUCAUAUAGGUAGAAAAGCUUUUAUAGAGAGUUAAACUUAGUUUUAUUUUUAAUAUUUUAAUAUUGGUAUUUGUGUUAAUCAUAUUAGAACUUUAAAAUAUAUUUAGAU